rnacentral:rRNA from 1 species
GUAGGUGGCAAGCGUUGUCCGGAAUUAUUGGGCGUAAAGCGCGCGCAGGUGGUUCUUUAAGUCUGAUGUGAAAGCCCCCGGCUCAACCGGGGAGGGUCAUUGGAAACUGGGGAACUUGAGUGCAGGAGAGGAAAGUGGAAUUCCACGUGUAGCGGUGAAAUGCGUAGAUAUGUGGAGGAACACCAGUGGCGAAGGCGACUUUCUGGCCUGUAACUGACACUGAGGCGCGAAAGCGUGGGGAGCAAACAGGAUUAGAUACCCUGGUAGUCCACGCCGUAAGCGAUGAGUGCUAAGUGUUGGGGGGGUUUCCCGCCCCGUCAGUGCUGCAGCUAACGCAUUAAGCACUCCGCCUGGGGAGUACGGUCGCAAGACUG